UACGGAGGGUGCGAGCGUUGUUCGGAAUCACUGGGCGUAAAGCGCGUGUAGGCGGCCCACUAAGUCUGAUGUGAAAGCCCGGGGCUCACCCCCGGAAGUGCAUUGGAAACUGGUGGACUCGAGUCCCGGAGAGGAGAGUGGAAUUCCUGGUGUAGAGGUGAAAUUCGUAGAUAUGGGGAGGAACACCGGUGGCGAAGGCGGCCAUCUGGACCGGCAUUGACGCUGAGGAGCGAAAGCUAGGGGAGCAAACGGG
rnacentral:rRNA from 1 species